rnacentral:rRNA from 1 species
AUGCGGAUCUCCACCCGCCAGCGCCUGACCUUAGCGUCGGGGUGGUCCGCUCCGGUGCCGGCCGGAUCUGGAUCACGAUUUUCUUGCCUCCGUGCAAAUGACGGAGGUGAGGACUCCUCGACGGCCGAGACCUCCGAGGCAUCGCGCCGGCGUAAGACUGACGAGGAGCUGGCCGCCGAGUUGUGGGCCGACAUUGGGUAUCCUACAUCAGCCUCACGAGUAUGGGAGAGACCGUCUUCUAGGCGAGGAUCUGCUCAGAAGGAUUGUGCACAAGAGGUAAACGGUUCUUCGACCUCGCCGGCAAUUCAUUCGCGGGGGUCGUCGCCGGCUGCAUGCCAGCUCGUGAGGGCUCCGGCUAUAUCUAGGCCUCUGGUACGGCCCUGGAUCGGACCUCUCCCUGCCCCCAGAGUCUCUCCCUCUCGUACUCUGGGAGAUGCCAUGCCCUCGGCCGGCUUGGCGAGGACGGCGGUGAUCACGCCGACGGCGCCUCCGAUGUUUCGUGCGACGGGCAUUUCGCCGGACGAGUCGGGGUGGUCGAUGGGCCUGGGCCCUCACCCAAUCUCAGGUGCGUCACAUCUGAACCGUUCUUUACGCAUGGUUAAUCUCAACCGUUGGUUGUUUCAUAUGUGGAACAGGGACACUCCUCGCAGAAACCCUAAUCUUCCUCGAUCCUUCAUGGCUGCCGUCUGCUCGGGGAUGGGUCGCGACGCGUCCGCGCCGCCGGGCUCUGGGCAGGUCCGACCUGCAGCCGCCGCGCCGAUGCCCUCGGACGCCUCCUCGUCUGGUGGCACCCCUGGCUUCGCACCUGGGGUGUUCCCCCCGGUGAUCCCUUCUUCCUCCGCUCAAAGUGUCAUGCCGAACCUUCCCCAACAGACUCCAGCACCGGGGCAGCAGCAACAACAGAUGUAUCAAAUGCCGCAGCAGUUCUUUCAGCAGCAACCGAUGUAUCAUGCGCCGCCGGGGUACAUGCAGCAAAUGGCGCCGGUGUACUCAUAUCAACUAGCCGGCCCUUUCUUGCAACAGAGCCAUGGUCACCCCACUGCUGUCCAGCCAAUGGCCUUUAACGCUGGUCUGGCAAACUCGGCGGCCGGAGUUCAGACAGGGAAUAUCCGUCCUAGGAAACCGAAGGGAGGAAAAGGAAAUCGGCCUAAGAACUAUGCGGGAAACACCCCGAUCAUCGCUGCUCCACUCACCUUGCCCUAUCAUGGCGUACAAGGUGCUCCGGCUUUUGUCUCGGGGCCUCUUGUGACUGCUGCUCCUCUUAUGGCACCGGCUCAACAACAACAUGAUGUGGCUCAGGUGGCACCUGCUCCCGGGGUGAACACGGUAAUGACCAAGUUAUGGUGUACCAAGUGUCAGUCGGCCGGACAUGUGGCUUUAGAUUGUGAAACACAGCAAUAUUGUUUCAUCUGUAACAAGGCGAACCAUCCGAUGACUACUCGGCGGUGUCCAGCUCUCAAGAUGCCGAAGCCGGCGGCGAUGCUAUGGGACUGA